GAGUCCCUGCAGAGUUCGUGAUGCACGAUCUAACUCUUGAACCGAUGCUUUUCUUACUUCCGGGUGCUCGCGUCUUCGUGCCGCGUGCAUGCCGUCGUCCCGCGCGGGCAACCGCUCGGGAUAUGGAGACGGUAGCUGAACGGCACGGGUAGAGCGCCCACCUGUUUCGGCAGGUUCAAGUAAGAAUCCUACACACGGCUCAGGCGGGGUCCUC
rnacentral:other from 1 species